GUGGUGGCUCAGUGGUUAAGGCUUUGGGCUACUACUCAUCAGAAGGUUAUAAGUUCAAAUCCUACCUUGAACA